rnacentral:rRNA from 1 species
UACGAAGGGGGCUAGCGUUGCUCGGAAUUACUGGGCGUAAAGCGCACGUAGGCGGCUUUUUAAGUCGGAGGUGAAAUCCUGGAGCUCAACUCCAGAACUGCCUUCGAUACUGAAGAGCUCGAGUCCGGGAGAGGUGAGUGGAACUGCGAGUGUAGAGGUGAAAUUCGUAGAUAUUCGCAAGAACACCAGUGGCGAAGGCGGCUCACUGGCCCGGUACUGACGCUGAGGUGCGAAAGCGUGGGGAGCAAACAG